rnacentral:lncRNA from 1 species
UGAAUAGCAAAGACAAUGUCAACAAUGUUUUAAUAUAUUAUAAAAUUAAAAUAAAUGACAGAUUCACAAAUUUUAGGCCUGCCUAAACAUAAAUGGGCUAUUCCAUUUAAUAUCCGUACCCCCCCUGUCGAGGAUCCCUGGAAUUCUUCAGGGGUAAAGGGUUUUGAGCUUGGAAUUCUUCAGGGGUAAAGUGUUUUGAGCUUGGAAUUCUUCAGGGGUAAAGUGUUUUGAGGUUGGAAUUCUUCAGGGGGGUAAAGGGUUUUGAGCUUGGAAUUCUUCAGGGGUAAAGGGUUUUGAGCUUGGAAUUCUUCAGGGGUAAGGAGGUUUGAUUUGAAAUUUUUCAGAGCUUGGAAUUCUUCAGGGGUAAAGGGUUUUCAGCUUGGAAUUCUUCAGGGGUAAAAGGUUUUGAGCUUGGAAUUUUUCAGG